GUGGGGAAUCUUCCGCAAUGGACUAAAGUCUGACGGAGCAACGCCGCGUGAGUGAUGAAGGUCUUCGGAUUGUAAAGCUCUGUUAAUCGGGACGAAAGAGCCUAGUGUGAAUAAUGCUAGGAAGUGACGGUACCGGAAUAGAAAGCCACGGCUAACUACGUGCCAGCAGCCGCGGUAAUACGUAGGUGGCAAGCGUUGUCCGGAAUUAUUGGGCGUAAAGCGCGCGCAGGCGGAUCUGCCAGUCUGUCUUAAAAGUUCGGGGCUUAACCCCGUGAUGGGAUGGAAACUACAGAUCUAGAGUAUCGGAGAGGAAAGUGGAAUUCCUAGUGGAGCGGUGAAAUGCGUAGAUAUUAGGAAGAACACCAGUGGCGAAGGCGACUUUCUGGACGAAAACUGACGCUGAGGCGCGAAAGCCAGGGGAGCGAACGGGAUUAGAUACCCCUGUAGUCC
rnacentral:rRNA from 1 species